rnacentral:rRNA from 1 species
AAUCAACGCUGGCGGCGUGCCUAACACAUGCAAGUCGAACGCGAAAGGGGCGUUCGGCCCUGAGUAGAGUGGCGAACGGGUGAGUAACACGUGGGUGAUCUACCUCUGAGUGGGGGAUAACGUUCCGAAAGGAACGCUAAUACCGCAUGACGUUCCGGGUUUGGAGACCUGGAACCAAAGCCGGGACGCAAGGCCUGGUGCUUGGAGAGGAGCCCGCGCCUGAUUAGCUAGUUGGUGAGGUAAGGCUCACCAAGGCAACGGAUCAGUAGCCGGCCUGAGAGGGCGGACGGCCACACUGGGACUGAGACACGGCCCAGGACUCCUACGGGAGGCAGCAGUGGGGAAUUG